UGGUUACAGUAUAUCCUGUCUGAACUUCUGAUAAAGCACUAACUAAUUUGACUAUAACGUGUUUUUUUUUUGUUUGUUUGUUUUUUUUUUUUUGUUUUUUUUUGUUUUUUUAAGGAUUUGAAAUAAUAGAGAUCUUCUGAAAAGCUUCUUUGUUGCUACACCAAGACUACAGACAGAAAAACAAGCCCUGCCUUACUUGGGAGUCAGUGGCAAAGCAUCAGAUGUCUGAGUCUAUCCUAAACAAAGGUCCAGGCUGGAUUUUUUUGCCUUACCCCAGUUGUGAGCAGGCAAACAUCUUCCAGAAGAUAAAUUUAAGAGGUCCAUGUGCACUUACAGAUACACCAUGAUGCUAUAUUUAAGGAAAUAAGCUUAAUUCUUUUACAAGAUCGGAUGUUCAGCUGAAGUCUUCAUGAACCUCUUCUCCUUUGGAAUAGAGCUUACAUAAUCACCAUUACAACCAUGAAAGAAAUUAGAAGAAAACUAAAGCAGUUGAAUAUGCAUCAUCUUUUUUGACUUUUCUACAGUGAGAAAUUUCAAGCUUAUCUCAUGCAAAAAAUU
rnacentral:lncRNA from 1 species